UUUAUGACGUUACAUUUCUCGAACUUCAAAAUCUUUACAUAAAAACUGUGAAGAGUUUAAUGUUGUAUUUAUAAUCUCUAUGGUUGUUUUGAGUCCAUCACCUCCCCUCAUUAGUGUCAGAGAUGCGCAACAGCUGUGUGUCUAAUAGAGAUGCGCCAAUCCUGCACAUUCCUGCGCAACUUUAUAUCAGAGUCAGAGCUCGUACACCACACGCUCUCUGAUCAGUAUAACAGAAGGUUAAUUCGAUGCCAAAGUAGUCUAGUUUCAUGAACCUGAAGGCUUUAAACACAAAUACACUUCUUCCAUUAGGCCGUUUUCAUGAAGGCUAAAGCGACGGACACGUGACUCGUCUAUAUUUCCACGUCAAGUAGUUUCCGUUCUGAUAUUUGUGCGCAGCCGAGAUUUUUCCACUCAUCAUCAUCACCAACAACAACCGGGAACUCACGAGGCACGUCGAGCUGGACAUGUGUGCGACACCGCAUUGUGUGUUCUGACCGUCCACUGCCAUGCGCUCCCUGAGGUCCUGCUGCAGACGACUCUGUCUGUCCUCCAGCUCCAGCUCACGUGCACUGCAAACAGACCCCACAGAUGAGCUCAGAGCAAUCCAACACCACUACACAUUACAAGGGAGCUCACCCUUGAGAUGUGGCCGCCACUCCACAGCCCACCAUACAGCGCAGGAAGAUGAACCAGCCGUACGAUGGAGCGAAUGAAGCACAGGUGUGCUGAACAUCACCACCAGCAUCCCAGUCACCAGCAGAAGAGCGCAACAUCCCAGCAGAGGCCGCGAGCUCUUCAGGACCAUCCUUGAACUCUUACACUGGAUCGCUGAGGAAACUGUGUAGCUCUGUGAAAGAGCCCAUGUGCAUCAGGUGCCAAGGAAUCUCUUCCAUCUUCCGUACCCAAGAACAACGUUGCAAACUGGACUUCUGAAAGAAGUCAGCGAGGAUCUGGUUGAAGUCCUUUUGGCUCUUAACCUGACCCCUCGAAUCUAUGAACAUCAACAUAACCUCACCAAGAAGCAGCAGGUUCAUAGCUUGGCUAAAAGACUGAUGCAUGAUGGUCAAAUGACCAUUGGCUCUCUCCUGAACCCAGGGCCAAACUGCAGAGCGCAGUCGGGCCCACUCCAGCACCUCA